rnacentral:lncRNA from 1 species
CCAGCUCUGCAUGUGCUUGUGGCAGUUUAGCUCUAUUUGAACUUGAUGGCUCUGAUCUAAACUGUUGCUCCCUCACUUUUAUGACCUCCUCCAAUGUGGCAAUCUCUUGGAAAAUAUUUCCAAAAGUUUGUUUUCUCCACUUAGCUAGUGCUGAUUUAGUAUUCUUUAAAUUCUUCUGGAAGUUUAAGAAUGAGCUUCCUUUAAAAUCUGUUUUCCAUCUUUGC